rnacentral:rRNA from 1 species
CCUACGGGGUGCUGCAGUAGGGAAUCUUCCACAAUGGACGAAAGUCUGAUGGAGCAACGCCGCGUGAGUGAAGAAGGGUUUCGGCUCGUAAAGCUCUGUUGGUAGUGAAGAAAGAUAGAGGUAGUAACUGGCCUUUAUUUGACGAUAUUUACUUAGACAGUCACGGCUAACUACGUGCGAGCAGCCGCGGUAAUACGUAGGUGGCAAGCGUUGUCCGGAUUUAUUGGGCGUAAAGCGAGUGCAGGCGGUACAAUAAGUCUGAUGUGAAAGCCUUCGGCUCAACCGGAGAAUUGCAUCAGAAACUGUUGGACUUGAGUGCAGAAGAGGUGAGUGGAACUCCAUGUGUAGCGGUGGAAUGCGUAGAUAUAAGGAAGAACACCAGUGGCGAAGGCGGCUCUCUGGUCUGCAACUGACGCUGAGGCUCGAAAGCGUGGGUAGCGAACAGGAUUAGAUACCCCAGUAGUC